rnacentral:lncRNA from 1 species
UUCAUGGAUCAUAUAUAAGAAAAAGUGAGAAUGUGUUUUUAAAGUUAAUAUAGGAGAUUUUCUUUAGAUUUGUCUAAAUAUUUUCAUUAAUUUUAUGCUACUAACUUUUCCAUUUUUUAUAUAAUAAUGUGUGUAAUCAGUCUUUCAUGAGUAUUUUAGUUACUGUUUUCUAUAUUUCUAUUGUUAAAAGAAAUCAUCAUCAUAUUCAGCAUUUCUAUUUCAUCUACUGCUGCAUAUACGAGGUGGCAUGUAUUGUAUCUACCAUUUUCAAUUAGCAACCCUUUAGACUCUACAUACACAUGUGGGUACCCAUGCAUACAUGCAUAAGCAAUUGAAAGGGGUGCAAUCAUUCUACCAAUGAAUAUUGGAUAGUGCAAACACAAAUCACAAUAUAGUGGAGAUGUUUAUCCAAAUAGGCUCCCUUAUGAAGGUCCAGAGGGCACUGUGGCAUAGCAGUGAAGAUUGUCAUGCACUUGUUUCAGAUCAACACAGCAUUUUGAGAUGGGUCAAACAACAAUGGAAAGUCACAAGCAGUAUUCUGAACUGUCAGCUGCCAAGUCAAAAAAAAAUAUUCAAAUGCCAGAAAACUGUUCAUGCAGUGCUAAAAUGGAGUCCAUGACACUUAUUGGACUAGCUGCUAUCAGAUUAGAAAUUCCAUCCCUGUAAAUUGCAUAAGGUUCAGGAGUUGAGGGACAUUGAUAAGGACAGUUGACACACUGUUUGUUCUAACAUUCUGGCAAGGAUGGAUCAAGAACCCAUAUUGUAAAAAAAGUUAGCUUCAUCUGAUAUAAGCAAGUGUUGUUCCCUUAUCCAGAUGUAGACCUUCCUGGUAAAUUCUAACAUAUAUCUUUCCAUAUUUCUUUGGGUUGUUGCUAGUUCUGUUCCAGAUUUUUUUGUAAGAGUCCUUGUGCAGUCAUUAAUUUCACUAUAAUAUUAAUACCUAAUCUAAGAACUCUGCAAUGAUUCAAAAAUCCAUUUGGCCAGGAUUUUUAUCAGAAAUUAAUUUCUGAAAUAAUAAUUAUUCUUAACACUAAAAAUAACAAGCAACUGGAACUUCACAGUUGUUAAAGAAAAUCGUGAACACGUUAGAAUCAAAACAAUAAAAUUACAUUAAUAUACUUAAUUAGAAAUAGAAUAAUUACCAUACAAAUAAAUAAUAAUAUAUAAUUUAUUAAUUCC